AGUGAACGCUGGCGGUAGGCCUAACACAUGCAAGUCGAACGGCAGCACAGGAGAGCUUGCUCUCUGGGUGGCGAGUGGCGGACGGGUGAGGAAUACAUCGGAAUCUACCUUUUCGUGGGGGAUAACGUAGGGAAACUUACGCUAAUACCGCAUACGACCUACGGGUGAAAGUGGGGGACCGCAAGGCCUCACGCGAUUAGAUGAGCCGAUGUCCGAUUAGCUAGUUGGCGGGGUAAUGGCCACCCAAGGCGACGAUCGGUACCUGGUCUGAGAGGAUGAUAAGCCACACUUGAACUGAGACACGGUCCAGACUCCUACGGGAGGCAGCAGUGGGGAAUAUUGGACAAUGGGCGCAAGCCUGAUCCAGCCAUACCGCGUGGGUGAAGAAGGCCUUCGGGUUGUAAAGCCCUUUUGUUGGGAAAGAAAUCCUAUCGGUUAAUAACCGGUGGGGAUGACGGUACCCAAAGAAUAAGCACCGGCUAACUUCGUGCCAGCAGCCGCAGUAAAAC
rnacentral:rRNA from 1 species